UGGGGGAUCGUCUAAUGGCAGGACGGCAGACUCUGACUCUGUCUAUCAAGGUUCGAAUCCUUGUCCCCCAGCCA
rnacentral:tRNA from 2 species